rnacentral:misc_RNA from 1 species
GAUGAAGAACGUAGCAAAAUGCGAUAAGUAAUGUGAAUUGCAGAAUUCAGUGAAUCAUCGAAUCUUUGAACGCCCAUUGCGCCCGCCAGUAUUCUGGCGGGCAUGCCUGUUCGAGCGUCAUUUCAACCCUCAAGCACAGCUUGGUGUUGGGACUCGCGUUAAUUCGCGUUCCCCAAAUUGAUUGGCGGUCACGUCGAGCUUCCAUAGCGUAGUAGUAAAACCCUCGUUACUGGUAAUCGUCGCGGCCACGCCGUUAAACCCCAACUUCUGAAUGUUGACCUCGGAUCAUGUAGGAAUACCCGCUGAACUUAAGCAUAUCAAUAAGCGGAGGA